UAGACCCGAAACCCGGUGAUCUAGCCAUGGGCAGGUUGAAGGUUGGGUAACACUAACUGGAGGACCGAACCGACUAAUGUUGAAAAAUUAGCGGAUGACCUGUGGCUGGGGGUGAAAGGCCAAUCAAACCGGGAGAUAGCUGGUUCUCCCCGAAAGCUAUUUAGGUAGCGCCUCGUGAAUUCAUCUCCGGGGGUAGAGCACUGUUUCGGCUAGGGGGCCAUCCCGGCUUACCAACCCGAUGCAAACUGCGAAUACCGGAGAAUGUUAUCACGGGAGACACACGGCGGGUGCUAACGUCCGUCGUGAAGAGGGAAACAACCCAGACCGCCAGCUAAGGUCCCAAAGUCAUGGUUAAGUGGGAAACGAUGUGGGAAGGCCCAGACAGCCAGGAUGUUGGCUUAGAAGCAGCCAUCAUUUAAAGAAAGCGUAAUAGCUCACUGGUCGAGUCGGCCUGCGCGGAAGAUGUAACGGGGCUAAACCAUGCACCGAAGCUGCGGCAGCGACACUGUG
rnacentral:rRNA from 1 species